GUCAGGAUGAACGCUGGCGGCGUGCCUAACACAUGCAAGUCGAGCGAAGCGCUUUACUUGAAUUCUUCGGAAGGAAAGUAUUGUGACUGAGCGGCGGACGGGUGAGUAACGCGUGGGUAACCUGCCUCAUACAGGGGGAUAACAGUUAGAAAUGACUGCUAAUACCGCAUAAGACCACAGCACCGCAUGGUGCGGGGGUAAAAACUCCGGUGGUAUGAGAUGGACCCGCGUCUGAUUAGCUAGUUGGUAAGGUAAGGGCUUACCAAGGCGACGAUCAGUAGCCGACCUGAGAGGGUGAUCGGCCACAUUGGGACUGAGACACGGCCCAAACUCCUACGGGAGGCAGCAGUGGGGAAUAUUGCACAAUGGGGGAAACCCUGAUGCAGCGACGCCGCGUGAGUGAUGAAGUAUUUCGGUAUGUAAAGCUCUAUCAGCAGGGAAGAAAAUGACGGUACCUGACUAAGAAGCACCGGCUAAAUACGUGCCAGCAGCCGCGGUAAUACGUAUGGUGCAAGCGUUAUCCGGAUUUACUGGGUGUAAAGGGAGCGUAGACGGAGAGGCAAGUCUGAUGUGAAAACCCGGGGCUCAACCCCGGGACUGCAUUGGAAACUGUUUUUCUAGAGUGUCGGAGAGGCAAGUGGAAUUCCUAGUGUAGCGGUGAAAUGCGUAGAUAUUAGGAGGAACACCAGUGGCGAAGGCGGCUUGCUGGACGAUGACUGACGUUGAGGCUCGAAAGCGUGGGGAGCAAACAGGAUUAGAUACCCUGGUAGUCCACGCCGUAAACGAUGACUACUAGGUGUCGGGUGGCAAAGCCAUUCGGUGCCGCAGCAAACGCAAUAAGUA
rnacentral:rRNA from 1 species